UUCCCAUCAUGCUUUAUUGCACAAAGUGGUGUCGCUGCAGGCGAAUUGCCUAUUAAGUCGUAUGCAUCUAUGUACAUCUAGUAGGCGUGUAGAUGUAAAUGCGCGCAGUGGUGUUGCUGAACAUUGCCUUUUAGGUCGUAUGCAUCUAUGUACAUCUAGUAGACGUGUAGAUGUAGAUGCACGCAGUGGUGUUGCUGAACAUUGCCUAUUAGGUCGUAUGCACGACCUCUUUAUAUCUCAUAAAAGACAACUAGUAGAAAUCCUGUUCUUAUUUUAGGAAAUAUUUGAUGCUGAACACUCGGUUAACUCGGUUGUUACGUGGGCUCUUCGUGGAGUUGGUUGGUUUAUGUUGUUUUUUGGCUUUGUAAUGAUGACAAGCAUACUGACUACAUUAGUGUCUUGGCUUCCUAUAGUACGAGAGUUAGUCGGGCUUGGCGUCAUCAUCACAUGUCUUUGUCUCUCGACAUCAUUAUCCUUGGUUACCAUAGCAAUCGGAUGGAUUGCCCAUAGACCUUUACUAGGCAUGGCACUAUUGGCAGCUGCCGCUGUACCCAUUUUACUAUCAAAAUUCAAACAAGGCGGAAAGAAGAAAGAAUCAAAGCUCUGAAAUCUAGACUAAAUACUAGAAUAUUGCCGCCAAACAGACUGAAAAUCGAAUUAUUAGCAAAUGUCACACCACACCACACCACACCACACCACACAACACUAUAUUACAUUAUACUCACUAAACUUGAACCUCCACUAAACACACCGCCUCGUGUGUGUGUCGACGGGGACUAGGAAAAUUGUCAGUUGACAGAGUGGACCCCAACUCUCCCUCCCCCAUAGAUCAUAUGACUGCAUCGUACAUUUGUAAAACUAUUUAUUCAUAGAACGCGCACAUAUGCAAUGUUUGUAGUAAGAGCAGAAGAUCACGCCAAUAUUUAUAGAUGGUAAAUUUAGAAAUAAUAAAAUGAUAAGCGAGACCAA